GACCAAUCCGGGUGUUGGCGGAUGCAGUCACCUGACCGGGAUGCCGCUGCUUGUUCCGGCAGUCGCAUGAUACUGACCCACAUUCAUGUCAUCAAGGUGAGACCAUACACCGGAUACACAGGUGAUUUACAGCAUUACAGGUAUACCCUGAAGUAACAGCAUUAAAUACUUCAAUAAAGCAGAAAAAAUCCUUACAAGUUCAGGAAUACCAGCAAAGAAAAGGGGGAAAUUCUAUAAAGCAAACAAUAUAAAGGAGAAUAAUACCCUAUCAAUGAAAAGAAGUGACAGCUGACAAAGGUCUUCAAUCAUUUUGUCCAUUUUCUGCAAAUAGCUUGGACGAGAUUCUGCUAGAUGUUUAUGGGAAAGGAGAUUCAUAGAGCUCAUUGUUCAAAGCAUUAAAUGACUUAUAUGUAAUAACUCCUUCAUCUGAGAAGCUCUGCACAGCCACUUCACAAGUCUGUCAGAACUAAGCUGAGCUGUGAAGUAAAAAGCUGGUGAUACUAAGCUCUGUAAGGUGACCACCAGAGAGGAAGAAAAUAUCACAUUAUAGAGGGAUCUGGAGAAACUGGUUGUUUGGACAGAGAAGUAGCAAAUGAAGUUUAAUGUGGAUAAAUGAACAUGUUUUAUACCAUAUUACAGGCUGUCUCAGAGUAUAAUGAAGAAUAUGGCAACAUAUAUAAAUGAGCUGGAUGUCUGGAUAGCAUAUUUAGGCAUAAAAAAAGAACAUUUACUGUCAGAUAUACUAAUUGUACACUGAAAACACAUUUCUAUUUAGCAAAAAAAUGUUUCCCAACUUUUUGUAAAAGUUUACACUGCAGCACUGUAAAUAAUCAUGAUAAAACAUCAAUACUUUUUUUUAUUUAAUCUUGCACUUCGUCUUUAACAUGCUGCAAUGAGGAAAAUGAAUGUGUAUUUAUUUGUGUACUGCACUGUGAUAAAAUAUGCAUCAUUUUCAUCAAACUACAAAUCAAAAGAUGUCUACACUUGUUAUAAGGAAUAUGUUACUGCGAUGGUACAAUGCAAGCAAUAAACUGUUACCUUUCC